UACGUAGGGUGCAAGCGUUGUCCGGAUUUAUUGGGCGUAAAGAGCUCGUAGGCGGUUUGGCAAGUCGGGUGUGAAAACUUCAGGCUCAACCUGGAGAUGCCACCCGAGACUGCUAUGACUUGAGUCUGGUAGGGGAGCACGGAAUUCCUGGUGUAGCGGUGAAUGCGCAGAUAUCAGGAGGAACACCGGUGGCGAAGGCGGUGCUCUGGGCCAGUACUGACGCUGAGGAGCGAAAGCGUGGGGAGCAAACAGG
rnacentral:rRNA from 1 species